UACGUAGGGUGCGAGCGUUGUCCGGAAUUAUUGGGCGUAAAGAGCUCGUAGGCGGUUUGUUGCGUCGGCUGUGAAAUCCCGAGGCUCAACCUCGGGUCUGCAGUCGAUACGAGCAAACUAGAGUGUUGCAGGGGAGACUGGAAUUCCUGGUGUAGCGGUGAAAUGCGCAGAUAUCAGGAGGAACACCGGUGGCGAAGGCGGUUCUCUGGGCAUGUCCUGACGCUGAGGUGCGAAAGCGUGGGGAGCAAACAGG
rnacentral:rRNA from 1 species